GCCCCGAUGGCGGAAUUGGCAUACGCGCUGGUCUCAGAAACCAGUUAUUCCAGGUUCGACUCCUGGUCGGGGUACCA
rnacentral:tRNA from 1 species